CAUUCGCGACAGGGGCGUCCGGGUAUCCGGGCUGAGAAGCACCCUUUGAACCUGAACCAGGUAAUGCUGGCGUAGGGAGUCUUCGGUAGGUGCCC
rnacentral:ncRNA from 2 species